GGCGGGGCUCGCCGAAUUCCCGGUUCUGGGCGGGUGGGCCCGCCGGCUCCGGCCUGGUUUCCCCUACCUGUGGCGGGGAGUGAGGAAAGCCGGCCCUCGGAAAAAUGAUUAGGACUGUAAAGCCUUCUAGCUCCCUCUUGCCAAAGAGAGGCUGGUCACAGAGGCGGGAGACAGUCUGUUGAGCGGGGAGCUGACCAUCUGAGGACAGACACUGAGGAAGGAGGAUGGAAUGAUUUUGGCAGUGAAUGACAAUUCCUUCAACAAGACCCCCCCCCCCCACUCACUUCAAAGAAACAGUGGACAGGAUGUGCUUUCCAAAAUACUGCAGUUUAAUUCUGAAAAACUCAAAUGCAAGAGGCCCAGAGCUGUCUAUGGGAUUGGAUCUCCUGCAACCUGCCUUGGGCCCCAGAAGAGACUGGCAAUGUCAGCCUCCUCCCUGCUCUGCCUGAGGGAGGCCACGGAGAACUUCCUUAUCGGGCCCAAACUGGAGCCGCUGACUGCUCAGAGCAAGAUUUCUGCCUUGAAAGCAAAUGCAGUAGCCUCAGAAAUGUGCAGCGCAUACUUCUUCCUCCCCCUCUCCCCCUCCAGGCCGGCAGAGCUGCAGUAAAGAUGCCUGCAGGUCAUGACCUCAUGUUUCCUGUCCACUUCCCAUGGCAGGGAUCGGAGCUUUGGGAGAUAUGUGACCAAGGAGGACACAUGAACUUGCUACCCCUCUCUCUACCCCAGACAUACCCACAUGACUUUGUUUUACUCAUAUUGCAUUGGUUUAACUCGGAAAUGGGUGACCUCCCACCACCUAACCUGACUCAGUAGGAGGGGAGGUAAAGCAGUUUAGGCCCUGGUAUCUGUUUGAGAAGUUAAAGGAAAGGGCAUGGGUGGUCAGGGAGGAGGCAGAGCUUGGGGUCAAAGGGAUACAUGUCAGGGGAGGUUUGCUUAAUCUUGUCUCCCACCAGCUCCAGGAGCCAGGGAUUUCUCUUUUUUUUCACAACACAUUCCAAACCUAGGAAAGGGAUUUCUCCUUAUCUGGCUCUUAACCCAGGAGGGCUAAACACUUCAGCUGCUUGAAGAAAUCGCCUGUGGAGCUGCAUGCCUGCCAAAGGAUUGGGAUAAGACACAUCUAGCCUGGGCAUGGUGCCUUCUGCGUGUAAUCCCAGUACUUUGGGAGGCCGAGGCCGGCAGGUUGCUUGAGCUCAGGAAUUCAAGACCAGCCUGGGCAACAUGGCGAAACCCUGUGUCUACAAAAAAUACAAAAAUUAGCCAGGUGUGAUGGUACACACCUAUAGUCCCAGCUACUUCGGCGGCUGAGGUGGGAGGAUCGCUUGAGCCCCAGGGAGUGGAGGUUGUAGUGAGCGGAGAUUGCACUACUGCACCUCAGCCUGGGCGACAGAACGAGACUCCAUUUCAAAAAAAUAAAAACAAAACUCUUUUCCUAGUUCUGACCUGAGGUUUUUAGGUGCACAGGCAGGAAGGUAGCUAAGCCAGGGAUUCAGGGGGGGGAGGGGCUCCCCCAGGAUCUGAAGUCCAGAGAACAGGAGCCUGGAACCAAUAUUUCCAGGUGCCCCAAUGUGCUUGUGUGCUGGAGAAAAGGGGCAUGCCUCC
rnacentral:lncRNA from 1 species